GGGCCCUUAGCUCAGCUGGUAGAGCAUCGGACUUUUAAUCCGCUGGUCGCUGGUUCGAAUCCAGCAGGGCCCACCA
rnacentral:tRNA from 2 species